UACGAAGGGUGCAAGCGUUACUCGGAAUUACUGGGCGUAAAGCGCGCGUAGGCGGCUUUGCAAGUCGGGUGUGAAAUCCCCAGGCUUAACCUGGGAACUGCAUUCGAGACUGCAUUGCUAGAGUAUGGGAGAGGGAAGUGGAAUUUCCGGUGUAGCGGUGAAAUGCGUAGAUAUCGGAAGGAACACCAGUGGCGAAAGCGACUUCCUGGACCAAUACUGACGCUCAUGUGCGAAAGCGUGGGGAGCAAACAGG
rnacentral:rRNA from 1 species